GAGUUUGAUCCUGGCUCAGGAUGAACGCUGGCGGCGUGCUUAACACAUGCAAGUCGAACGAAGCUGCUUAACUGAUCUUCUUCGGAAUUGACGUUUUGUAGACUGAGUGGCGGACGGGUGAGUAACGCGUGGGUAACCUGCCCUGUACAGGGGGAUAACAGUCAGAAAUGACUGCUAAUACCGCAUAAGACCACAGCACCGCAUGGUGCAGGGGUAAAAACUCCGGUGGUACAGGAUGGACCCGCGUCUGAUUAGCUGGUUGGUGAGGUAACGGCUCACCAAGGCGACGAUCAGUAGCCGGCUUGAGAGAGUGAACGGCCACAUUGGGACUGAGACACGGCCCAGACUCCUACGGGAGGCAGCAGUGGGGAAUAUUGCACAAUGGGGGAAACCCUGAUGCAGCGACGCCGCGCGAAGGAAGAAGUAUCUCGGUAUGUAAACUUCUAUCAGCAGGGAAGAUAGUGACGGUACCUGACUAAGAAGCCCCGGCUAACUACGUGCCAGCCGCCGCGGUAAUAC
rnacentral:rRNA from 1 species